rnacentral:sRNA from 1 species
UAACCUCAACAUUAUUAGUGUACGUGCC